rnacentral:tRNA from 1 species
GGAUGAUGGCUCAGAGGUUAAGAGCACUGGAUGCUGUUCCAGAGGUCCUGAGUUCGAUUCCCAGCAACCA